GAAGAAGGAAGGAAACGACGACCUGUUUGUAAUAGAUUUUAAGCUACGAGGGCGUUUUUGCAAAAUUCACAGUACACUAAGCUGUGGACAACUUUUUCCGGACGGAGGGAGUAGGAGCAACAUUAACACACUUCACAAGAACUAGAUAGACAGUGUACUUGUAGUACCAUAUGCUGCGAUAACGAAUACUGCCAGAUAUUCAGUCUGUUUACACAUUAACAUGACACCUUGUGUUCAGUGGCGUCACUCUUUAUCACAGGAAACUGCAAUGCAUGGUUUUUGUAUUAAAAAUUUGAAUGUCGUAUAAUUCAAAUGCAGAAAUUUACUCAAGGUAUAAAUUCAAGUCAUGUUACAUCAUCAGUCUGUUAAACAUAACUUACAGAAUGGUACUCUUUUCGUAUCAUGAUGCUCAGGUUCCGUCCACUUGGUGACUUGCUUAGCUUGCCGCGGAACUGUAGUGUAUCUACUUUAUGCUUCUGAUCCAUCAUAAGUUAUUAGCGCAUUCAUGUUACGACACUAACUUGUCAACACCAAGGUGGUAAUCUUGCUUCAGAUCUUGGAUGAGUUACUGGGGCUGUUCAGGCCAUGACUCCAAAUUGUAAUUGCUAUCUUGAGGACGGGCAAUCUUGUGUAACUGAAAGUGAUAAUUCUUCAAAAACUCGGCUCUUGCUAUUCUCCAUGUAGUUUAUUUCAUUCUGCGACAUACUCCCUCCGUUCCUAAAUAUAAGUCUUUUGAGAGAUUCCAAUAAGAGAUAUAUGUUACUUAUGCACAUGUGUCUUGUCUGUUUAAGGUGACCUAGAGCUUCCGCAGUCAACAAUGCUGGCGGUCAGCGUUGCUCCUUACCAGGUGAUGAAUGUGAGGUAUGUAACAUGCUCGCCAUUCCGGAAGACAUUAGCUAUACUGCUGCAUAUGUCUUUGAUAAUUCAUCCGCUUGGUCAAUUGUCCACUAAAUGUGAAGUGGCUAAAAAGAAAGGAAAUUAACAUGUAGAAGAAGUUGAAGAACUGUUAAGCAGAGAAUUCAUCGCCUAGCUUAACCAGUGCAACGUGAAUAAGGAUUAAGAGGAUCUAGCUUAAUCCAUGUGUAUGGUAGCAGAUCAUAUACUUUGCUUUUUUCAAUUUUCUAAAUUACAGUUUCACCCCUAGCCUCAUUUGCGGGUAAAAUGUUAUAGUUUGCGCAAGCAGCAGAUCUAGAUAAUCUUUUGUAGGGCGUGAGUUACUGGAUAGACAUCUAAUAAAAAGAGGCAUCUUCUUUCGGCUCGAUACAGAAUAUAUCAGUGCUAUUGGGUGCUCUUUGGUACUACAAUUGCCUCACCCACUCUACAAAAACUUGAGUGUAUAUGGUCUUUUGUUCUUCACUAUUACUUUAUUAAGGCUGCAAAUUUGUGAUAUGUACAGAUGAAAACACAUACUGCGACAUAAUUGAUUCAUCUGACGAUUCAGUGUUCCCUGUUCUUUUUGUGUGAACUCCAGCCAGAAAUAUUUAGCCGGGGUAUUUUUUGCCACUUAUUGUCUGUUACGGAGAGUUGGUGUUUCUAGACACAAAAUAUUUUGUUUACUGGUUUAUACCAUGGGUCAGUUCAAUCUCAGGUUAAAUUAGUCAGUGUUGAUCAAUAAUGAAAUGUAGCCAUUGGUUGAUUGAUCAUUGAUGGUACAGAUGUGCAAAGCAACAAUUAUAUACCCCACUGUGUUGGACCCAAAUACCUUCCGGAAAGAAGUUCUGAAGGGUGGGAUACUAGACAACCAUGUAAUUUCAGCUAUAUCUUUCUGUGUCAAACACAAAGGUUGAAUGUAUGGCUUAGCACUAACUUCAUGUGGGUUUUUCUGCUCAAGUUAUUUCAGUUAUAUGCCUCAGUUAAUACUUCGCAGGAUCUUGAGGAGUUCUUUUGUGUUGUAUUGCUUUGAAGGUGAAUCUCAUUCCUCGGAUUUUGCUCUGUUGUCGUAGCACUUUCAGAUUUGAAGUUAUGUUUCUCAAGUAAGAAGUAGUAUCUUUGUGCUUUUAGCAAUGAGAAUAUUUGAGGAACUACCUAUUACAACAUCAUUUUCUAGGAAAAUUAGAUCAUAACAAGAGACGAUGAAUCAUUUAUUUUCUUUGUUGUGGGUAGGGUCAAAUUUUGAAUUACCAAGCUUUUGUAUGAUUUUGAUUGACCAGGCUUGCUUGCUGCUUGCUUGUCAAUCAAGCUAUGUUGGUCGAUUUUAGAGACAAACUUGUCUUCGAAUAAGACUAUCUAGAAGCAGCAAGGCAAAGACAUCCAUUGCAUUACUAACUGGGAUAAUUUUGACUUGUUAGCUACACCCUUUGGAUGGUCCUAAUUGUAGAAAAUUAUUAUAGACAAUCAACUCUUCAAAUUUCACCAUCAUGAAAGAAUCUAAAUAUAGUAUGUUUUCUUCUCUUACUUUUUUAUUAUACUCUUCUACUCUUAUAAUUCAUCAAAUGCUAACUAUUACCGUCACUUUAAUGCUCGGAACCCCUGGUUGAUAAUUUAUAGUGGGUCAGUUCUGUGUUGAUUUCUCUCAUGAUGAUUGAUGCUUUGUUACAUAGAUAGAAAAAAAUUGAGAAAUCAGAUGGAGAAGGAAUGGCACAACCGUGAAAAAUAAGUCAGAUGCUUGUUGAAAGAUAUAUACUGUGAGUUUCAUAUAUUUUGGUUCUAUAAGGAUUCAAUUUUUUAAGGAGGCCGGAGUGGAGAAGUAGAUGUGACAUAGAGAAACAUGGCUAUGCAGGGGAAACGGGAAAUCACACUUUGACAAAUGUUUCUAUAGUCAUGUGUUAUUCUGUAGCCACUGAGCAAAUGCAUCGACAUACAUGUGUCAGAGACGCUGUAUGCUCUUUGAUUGUUGAUAAUUUUUUGUUUCUCGUGGACCUUGUUUGACUUUUGGAUGUGGUGUGAAUUCUAUGGGCUAAUAUGUCAAGCUUUCGAUGGUGCACUAUGUACGCUUGUUUGGUGAUUCAAUAUUUGUCAGUGUGGUAAUAAGCCACAUACGACACAAAUUCUUCUAUUUUGUCGAACACAUCCUCUUGAAGUACAAGAUAUUUUUAUAACCAUGUCUACAACUCAUGAUCUCUAUGCCUAAAUUUAUUGUUUGGUGCCAUUGUGACCAAUAUCGCUUAAGCUAUACGAGGUUUGAUUGAGAACAUGGAGAUACAUUUUGUCUUACUCGUGAUGAUAAGUAUGUAUGUCAACUAUUUUAUGGCCGAGUGCUUUUAGCAGAGGGCUUGUUAGGGCAAUGAGAGGACGGUUCUGGACCUUCUCCUCAACCAACGUUGACGGAGAGCAAUGAGUUGACUGUGUUUGCUGAUGACGGCGAUAAAACUGGCAAGGUAUAAGGCGAGUUGUGUCCCUGGUAGAGGUGCAGAUCAAGGAGGUCGACAAAUGGGAUGAUGUUGGGUGACGUUCACUAAGGAGGAAAAAGGUGCAGGUCGUUGUUUUUUUUGGCGAUGGCAGCAACAUACUUCCUUGAGUGAAGAAAGGAAUCCCCAGCCUGAAGCUUCGCACAGAUUUUUCCUAUUCUCUGAGAUGGAUGAUGAUGAGCGGUGCAACCGAAAAUUCAGAGCUGGGCUUUACACACUUCAGUGGGAGUGGCAUGACAGCACCAAGGUAGAGACCUGAAGAGAAGCAAAGGGACGGAGCAAGGAAACUAGAACCACGUUGUCGUGAUGUGGGUCGUGUCGUCUUCGUCCAUCUCCAUGGAGAACAACAUGUCAUAAACAUGGAGCUGAGCAUUGUUUCUCCAGAUCCCUUCAAGACAGAGAUGUAGAGAGUGGCUCCAUCACUGAAGAGAGGACAAACAUUGUGCAAGGCAUUUUUGUGCAGCUCCUUUCACAAAUGAAGGAAUUACAAUGCAUCUGACCUGUAAAGGAUUGUGACGGACAAAGUGCAAUGAAUCCACAGGAGUGGGAGGGGAGAGUUUACGAAGAAUGUUUCAAGGACAAAGUGUGACCUGGAUUCCUAAGUUAUACCCAACGUAGCAAAAUUGUAUAGAGAGAAUGCCCGCAUUUUGAAAACUCCAUUACAUAAUUUGAGGCUAUGUUCCUUUCAAUUUUCAGCAUUAUUAAAAAGAUCCUUAUUAUAGCUAAAUUUCCAUGCAUUUAUUUUCAAACAACUCUUGGUUAAAAAUGAGUCUUAUUGUAGAUGGCAAGCCUCUAUUCUUUUUUAUUAUUAUAGGGGGGUGUUAGAUUUGUUACUAUAUAUGCUUGUCCACAACUAAACCAAAA